UGGCGAACGGGUGAGUAACACGUGGGCAAUCUGCCCUGCACUCUGGGACAAGCCCUGGAAACGGGGUCUAAUACCGGAUACUGAUCCUCGCGGGCAUCCGUGAGGUUCGAAAGCUCCGGCGGUGCAGGAUGAGCCCGCGGCCUAUCAGCUUGUUGGUGAGGUAAUGGCUCACCAAGGCGACGACGGGUAGCCGGCCUGAGAGGGCGACCGGCCACACUGGGACUGAGACACGGCCCAGACUCCUACGGGAGGCAGCAGUGGGGAAUAUUGCACAAUGGGCGAAAGCCUGAUGCAGCGACGCCGCGUGAGGGAUGACGGCCUUCGGGUUGUAAACCUCUUUCAGCAGGGAAGAAGCGAAAGUGACGGUACCUGCAGAAGAAGCGCCGGCUAACUACGUGCCAGCAGCCGCGGUAAUACGUAGGGCGCAAGCGUUGUCCGGAAUUAUUGGGCGUAAAGAGCUCGUAGGCGGCUUGUCACGUCGGUUGUGAAAGCCCGGGGCUUAACCCCGGG
rnacentral:rRNA from 1 species